GAUGAACGCUGGCUACAGGCUUAACACAUGCAAGUCGAGGGGAAACGACGGGGAAGCUUGCUUCCCCGGGCGUCGACCGGCGCACGGGUGAGUAACGCGUAUCCAACCUGCCUCUGACUGAGGGAUAACCCGUCGAAAGUCGGCCUAAUACCUCAUGGCAUCGUCUGCGGGCAUCCAACGACGAUUAAAGAUUUCAUCGGUCAGGGAUGGGGAUGCGUCUGAUUAGCUUGUUGGCGGGGUAACGGCCCACCAAGGCGACGAUCAGUAGGGGUUCUGAGAGGAAGGUCCCCCACAUUGGAACUGAGACACGGUCCAAACUCCUACGGGAGGCAGCAGUGAGGAAUAUUGGUCAAUGGGCGAGAGCCUGAACCAGCCAAGUAGCGUGCAGGAUGACGGCCCUAUGGGUUGUAAACUGCUUUUAUGCGGGGAUAAAGUGAGGGACGUGUCCUUCAUUGCAGGUACCGCAUGAAUAAGGACCGGCUAAUUCCGUGCCAGCAGCCGCGGUAAUACGGAAGGUCCGGGCGUUAUCCGGAUUUAUUGGGUUUAAAGGGAGCGUAGGCCGUGGAUUAAGCGUGUUGUGAAAUGCAGGUGCUCAACGUCUGCACUGCAGCGCGAACUGGUCCACUUGAGUGUGCGCAACGCAGGCGGAAUUCGUCGUGUAGCGGUGAGAUGCUUAGAUAUGACGAAGAACUCCGAUUGCGAAGGCAGCUUGCGGGAGCACAACUGACGCUGAAGCUCGAAAGUGCGGGUAUCGAACAGG
rnacentral:rRNA from 1 species